UACGUAGGGCGCAAGCGUUGUCCGGAAUUAUUGGGCGUAAAGAGCUCGUAGGCGGCCAGUUGCGUCCGCUGUGAAAUCCCGGGGCUUAACCCCGGGCGUGCAGUGGAUACGGGCUGGCUGGAGGCAGGCAGGGGGAGAAUGGAAUUCCCGGUGUAGCGGUGAAAUGCGCAGAUAUCGGGAGGAACACCGGUGGCGAAAGCGAGCUGCUGGACCUCUUCUGACGCUGAGGCGCGAAGCCAGGGGGAGCAAAAACGGGG
rnacentral:rRNA from 1 species